rnacentral:rRNA from 1 species
GACGAACGCUGGCGGCGUGCUUAACGCAUGCAAGUCGAACGGAAAGGCCCUGCUUUUGUGGGGUGCUCGAGUGGCGAACGGGUGAGUAACACGUGAGUAACCUGCCCUUGACUUUGGGAUAACUUCAGGAAACUGGGGCUAAUACCGGAUAGGAGCUCCUGCUGCAUGGUGGGGGUUGGAAAGUUUCGGCGGUUGGGGAUGGACUCGCGGCUUAUCAGCUUGUUGGUGGGGUAGUGGCUUACCAAGGCUUUGACGGGUAGCCGGCCUGAGAGGGUGACCGGCCACAUUGGGACUGAGAUACGGCCCAGACUCCUACGGGAGGCAGCAGUGGGGAAUAUUGCACAAUGGGCGGAAGCCUGAUGCAGCAACGCCGCGUGCGGGAUGACGGCCUUCGGGUUGUAAACCGCUUUCGCCUGUGACGAAGCGUGUGUGACGGUAAUGGGUAAAGAAGCACCGGCUAACUACGUG